UAGAGUUUGAUCAUGGCUCAGGAUGAACGCUAGCGGGAGGCUUAACACAUGCAAGUCGCGGGGCAGCAUGAUGUAGCAAUACAUUGAUGGCGACCGGCGCACGGGUGAGUAACGCGUAUGCAACCUGCCCAGUACAGGGGGAUAGCCCGGAGAAAUUCGGAUUAAUACCCCAUAAUGAUAAGAGAUGGCAUCAUUUUUUAUUUAAAGUUACGGCGGUACUGGAUGGGCAUGCGUGACAUUAGCUAGUUGGUAGGGUAACGGCCUACCAAGGCAUCGAUGUCUAGGGGUCCUGAGAGGGUGAUCCCCCACACUGGUACUGAGACACGGACCAGACUCCUACGGGAGGCAGCAGUGAGGAAUAUUGGUCAAUGGGCGCAAGCCUGAACCAGCCAUCCCGCGUGAAGGAAGAAUGCGCUAUGCGUUGUAAACUUCUUUUCCAGGGGAAUAAAAUUUCGUACGAGUACGGGACUGAAGGUACCUUGGGAAUAAGCAUCGGCUAACUCCGUGCCAGCAGCCGCGGUAAUACGGAGGAUGCGAGCGUUAUCCGGAUUUAUUGGGUUUAAAGGGUGCGUAGGCGGAAAAAUAAGUCAGUGGUGAAAACCUUCAGCUUAACUAGAGACUUGCCAUUGAUACUGUUAUUCUUGAGUAUAGUUAAGGUAGGCGGAAUGUGUAAUGUAGCGGUGAAAUGCUUAGAUAUUACACAGAACACCAAUUGCGAAGGCAGCUUACUGAGCUAUAACUGACGCUGAUGCACGAAAGCGUGGGGAGCGAACAGGAUUAGAUACCCUGGUAGUCCACGCCGUAAACGAUGAUCACUCGCUGUUGGCGAUACACAGUCAGCGGCUAAGCAAAAGCAUUAAGUGAUCCACCUGGGGAGUACGGCCGCAAGGCUGAAACUCAAAGGAAUUGACGGGGGCCCGCACAAGCGGAGGACAUGUGGUUUAUUCGAUGAUACGCGAGGACCUUACCUGGGCUUAAAUGUAUAGUGCAUUCUGC
rnacentral:rRNA from 1 species